rnacentral:rRNA from 1 species
UCAGGUGGCCGCAGAGAAUAGGCCCAAGCGACUGUUUACCAAAAACAUAGGUUUCUGCUAAGUCGCAAGACGAUGUAUAGGAGCUGACGCCUGCCCGGUGCUGGAAGGUUAAGGGGAUCUGUUAGAGCAAUCGAAGCAGUGAACUUAAGCCCCAGUAAACGGCGGCCGUAACUAUAACGGUCCUAAGGUAGCGAAAUUCCUUGUCGGGUAAGUUCCGACCCGCACGAAAGGCGUAACGAUUUGGGCACUGUCUCAACAACAGACUCGGUGAAAUUGUAAUUCCGGUGAAGAUGCCGGAUACCUGCGACAGGACGGAAAGACCCCAUGGAGCUUUACUGUAGCUUGACAUUGGGUCUUGGUACUACAUGUACAGGAUAGGU